rnacentral:rRNA from 1 species
GACGAACCACACAAACGUUAUUCGGAAUUACUGGGCUUAAAGGGUGCGUAGGCGGCGUGGAAAGUUGGGUGUGAAAUCCCUUAGCUUAACUGAGGAACAGCGCCCAAAACUACCAUGCUCGAGGGAGAUAGAGGAAUGCGGAACUUAGGGUGGAGCGGUGAAAUGCGUUGAUAUCCUAGGGAACACCGGUGGCGAAAGCGGCAUUCUGGAUCUCUUCUGACGCUGAGGCACGAAAGCUAGGGUAGCAAACGGU